rnacentral:tRNA from 1 species
GCUUCUAUGGCCAAGUUGGUAAGGCGCCACACUAGUAAUGUGGAGAUCAUNAUCCGAUUGGAAGCA